CUGCCUUACAAGCAGAGGGUCGGGGGUUCGAACCCCUCAGCCUCCA
rnacentral:tRNA from 1 species